rnacentral:rRNA from 1 species
AGUGAACGCUGGCGGCGUGCUUAACACAUGCAAGUCGAACGAGAACGGAUUAUAGCUUGCUAUAAUUGUCAGCUAAGUGGCGCACGGGUGAGUAAUGUAUAGGUAAUAUGCCUCUUACUAAGGGAUAACAAAUGGAAACGUUUGCUAAUACCUUAUACUCCUUAUUAACAUAAGUUAAUAAGGGAAAGAUUUAUUGGUAAGAGAUUAGCCUGUAUUGUAUCAGUUAGUUGGUGGGGUAAUGGCUUACCAAGACUAUGACACGUAACUGGUUUGAAAGGAUGAUCAGACACACUGGAACUGAGACACGGUCCAGACUCCUACGGGAGGCAGCAGUGGGGAAUAUUGCACAAUGGACGGAAGUCUGAUGCAGCAACGCCGCGUGGAGGAUGACACAUUUCGGUGCGUAAACUCCUUUUAUAUGAGAAGAUAAUGACGGUAUUAUAUGAAUAAGCACCGGCUAACUCCGUGCCAGCCGCCGCCGUAAUAC